CCUACGGGUGGCAGCAGUGGGGGAUAUUGCACAAUGGGGGGAACCCUGAUGCAGCGACGCCGCGUGGGUGAAGAAGCGCCUCGGCGCGUAAAGCCCUGUCAGCAGGGAAGAAAGUGACGGUACCUGAAGAAGAAGCCCCGGCUAACUACGUGCCAGCAGCCGCGGUAAUACGUAGGGGGCAAGCGUUAUCCGGAUUUACUGGGUGUAGAGGGGGCGCGGACGGCGGUGCAAGCCAGGAGUGAAAGCCCCGGGCCCAACCCCGGGACUGCUCUUGGAACUGCGUGGCUAGAGUGCAGGAGAGGCAGGCGGAAUUCCAGGUGUAGCGGUGAAAUGCGUAGAGAUCAGGAGGAACACCGGUGGCGAAGGCGGCCUGCUGGACUGAAACUGACGUUGAGGCCCGAAAGCGUGGGGAGCAAACAGGAUUAGAUACCCCAGUAGUC
rnacentral:rRNA from 1 species